CUGAAAUUAUUGACCUGCAGAAUUGUGAGUAAAAUAGUUUACUGUUUAAAGCAUAAAAUUUGGCAGCGCUUUGUUAUGCAUUAAAAACUAGCUGCUCCAACCAUUGACAUGAUACAUAAAAAUCAACCAAAAACAAUCAGAGAAAGACAAGAUUGUUCGCUGUAGAAAUGUAACAUCUACUUAAAAAUGCUGGCAUUUCACUUUCCCUGGAGUCAGAAAGGGAUGAAGUUAAGACAUCUAACGUGUUGAGUACAGUCCCUGUGAGAGGUCCUGUGUUACGCCCUGCAUUCUAUUUAACUGUUAUCUCAUUAACUCAUAGGGAGGGAGGCAGUUCAUAAGUCCAUUUUACAGAAGAGAAAAUGAGGACUUAGAGUGGAUUUUGUAUUCGAGUUUAAGGCUUCAUGUCUCCAUACCCUGCACACUCAAAAAAUCAACAUGUCUUAAGAGAAGGAUUCUUCUUAUCCACAGCUAUGGUUGUUGCGGCCUUUGUUGAUGACAUUCAGCAUUGACUUCUUGGGUAAGGUAUUCAGUAGUUAAGAUUCAAUGACUCCAGUGAAAGGUAUGUUUCCAUCGUGAUGUUCUUCUUCUGGACAAUAAGUGAAAAGAGCAUGUGAGUACCUCUCUCACUCCCAGCAAAUAAUUGUUGUGUCACCUCCACAUGUUUCUUCACGAUUCGAGGCUUUGAUUUCCCCUGCAAGACAAAAUGCAAUGAAGUGAUACAGAAAAAAAGAAAUUCUAUGCUGUCAUCACACUAGACCAUGAUGUUGAUUUAUGGAUGGUCUGCUUUCUUAUAUGCACUUAAUAUUUUUGUACAAGCAAACCUGAAAAGUGUCAAAAUCCCCUUUAACAGAUUAACAGGCUGAGAUGGGUUAAAGUGAGCAAGCCGGGAAGUGGUGGAGCUGGGAUCCACACCCUGGUCUGUCUGAGUCCAGAUGUAAUCAUCUUGCAUUCACUAUGGCAUGUUUCCCUUAUGUUAAGGGUUGCUGACAUAGACAGUGCAUGUCAUUCCUUUUGGUAUGGUCUUCCUCCUUUCUAGCUUUUUUCUGCCUGGAAGAUCCAGGCACCCAAGAGAAUGGAGCUUCCAUGUAAAUUUGCAGAAUCCCUAGGAUGAAAGCGGAGAGGAUCUACCCUGAAACCAACAAGUCUAGGAUGCACAUCUCUGCCUUUUUUUCAGAAUUAGGAAGGGGCAGGCAGAUGGGCAAUUGACAGGAAUAGUAGAAGCAUCCUCGGGGAAGUUGGCUACUUUACUUAGUGAGAAAGCAAUGGAAAGUGACAUUUGUAACUGAGUUUUAAGUGAAGUACAGUCCUAAGAGAGGAGCUCUGAAAAACAGCUGUUACCUGAGAUUGGGAAUGUUAAAGACCUUCUCAGAGCCUGACUGUACUCACAGCUGGACCUAGCUAUCAGAAGAGGGACUGCAACAUACCUGAGAAACUUUCAGAAUACUUAACGGAAGCAGAGUCAGGGGAAGUGAUUUUGAUAGUAGUCCAUGAGAAAAAAAUACGGUGUUUUAAAAUGCAAAUGAACUAAAAUUUAAAUCCUGCUCUCUCAGUAGCUAUGCAGCCUUAGGCGAGUUAAUAUCUUUGACCUUAGUAUUUCUCAGGUGUAAAGAGGGAUAAUUACCUACUCAGAACUUCACCUCUCCCAAGAAAGCUUUCCUGACCAUGUGCUGGCCCUUCCUUUACAUUGGGAUUAAAGUACCCCCCCCCGUUUUUCCAGGCUUUCUUGACUUUAAUUCUGUCAUAGCUCUAAUUAAGAACCUCUGUAAUGAUCUGUCUGCAAGCUUGUGAGAAAUUUGAGGACUGGGAACCAGCCUGAAACAUGUCUGUUCCCCUCUGAGUCAACACAGUGCCUGGGAUCUGGUGUCCAGUAGGGAUUUAAAGCAUAUUGAUUGAAUGAGAAAUGAUGACAGGAUCUACAUGGAUCACAAAGGAUAGUUGUUAUUUUACCUGUUAACUAUUUAAUAGCGAAAUUAAAUGAAAUAUGAAUUAACCUAGGACCAGGGAAGGUGGGGUAAGUUGUGUCUUUCACAUCAACCUUCAUAUGUUCCCCAAUUUUUUCUUCCUUCAUGUACCUAGGACACUCUUGUUCAAACACAAAGGUGGUUUUAUUUUGGGUCUAUACUAGCUAGUUCCCUAGAAAGGUCUUAAAUACAAAAUGAAUGGAAUACAAAAUAACCUCCCUCAUUGUUUUUUUUCCCGGACAAAUGACAGGAUGCAUACAGAACUGCUACUUUUGUGAUGUUGCAAGUAAUGGUAUAGAUGUGCACAAAUCAUGGAUGUGGUCCCAGUGAUCCAUGGAAAUGUGAAGUCCAGGAGAUACCUUCCCAAGUGAAAGCAAUAAGCCUUAACCAAAGCUGUGACUUAACCAAGGAUUCACAAGGCAUCUCCAAACAUUUCUAGGAUACGUGUGCAGAACGUGCAGGUCCGUUACAUAGGUAUACAUGUGCCAUGGUGGUUUGCUGAACCCAUCAACCCGUCAUCUUCAAAGCCUUUUUGAGACUGGCCACCCAAUGGGACUCGAAAAUUAUGCUGCCUGGAUGGCACAGACCAAGAGAGUCCUUCCACUUGGUCACAAGUCAAGCUUUCAAGGACAUCAAACAAGAUGAGAGAGAACCUAAAAUGAUACUCCUCUUCAUGACAGAAGGACACCCAAAGACAAAGGAAAAGACUAUUUCUGGUAGAAAAGGGACCAAACACUAUGAAUAUUCAAACCACAAAGUACCAAAAAGUAUACCAGAGUCACUAGAACAAGAUGAGUUAAACAAAUCCUUUCCUCCUAUUAAUCAAGACUUUGGAGAAGAAAAACAAAUAACAAUAUUUACCAUCCACUUGACCAGAUUCCACAGAAAGACAGAGACCUGGAGCCUGACUGGCCCCACCGCAGAGAAAACACCGAGGAGGAAGUGAUCAUGCCUGUCUUCCAGUAACCUCUACCCUGGGCCUCUGAGAGCAGAUAGCACAGGUCUGCUGGAGUUUGCUGGGUGUCCAUUCCAGACCCU
rnacentral:lncRNA from 10 species